CGAGGUGUGGCUAAGUUUGGUAUAGCGCUGCGUUCGGGACGCAGAGGUCGCAGGUUCAAAUCCUGUCACCUCGAUCA
rnacentral:tRNA from 1 species